rfam:Danio rerio chromosome 16, GRCz11 reference primary assembly.
CAUCACAGCCAUAUCACCCUGCAGCCCAAGAAUGGAUACUCAUUUAGGGUAACCAGGGCAGAGCCUGGUCAGUACCUGGAUGGGAGACCACAUGGGAAAAUUAGGUUGCUGUUGGAA